GGACUACUGGGGUUUCUAAUCCUGUUCGCUCCCCACGCUUUCGUGCCUUAGCGUCAAGGACGGCCCAGCAAGCUGCCUUCGCCAUUGGUGUUCCUACGGAUAUCUACGCAUUUCACUGCUACACCCGUAAUUCCACUUGCCUCUGCCGUCUUCUAAGAAAUCCCGUAUGAGAUACAGUCCAGAUGGUUGAGCCACCGGAUUUCGCAUCUCACGCAAAUUUCCGCCUACGCACGCUUUACGCCCAGUAAUUCCGGAUAACGCUUGGACCCUACGUAUUACCGCGGCUGCUGGCAC
rnacentral:rRNA from 1 species